UACCUCCUUCCAGGCUCUAGCUCCGCCCCAGCCAUAACUCCUCCCGCUUCCGUCUAUCUGCUUGGAUUACUGGAUAUUACGUCUGCAACCUCGAGGUCGCUGUUGUGUUGGGCAAGCAUUGAUCCUUCGAGGCGGAGUGUUGUGUCUGCUAUAUAAGGGGAGCAUUUAAACAUGCAGGCGUGAGUAUCUACUUCCCCUUUGGAUUCUGUUAAGAUUUGCAUCUGAUAUCUGAAGCUCUAUUGUUGAUCACAGAUAUCAGUUGUUUCUUACUACUUGAAGUAUAUCUCUAUUGCAAACAGAAAAUCCUGCUUUCCUUGCAAAACCUCUCCCAUAAUGUCAGCUGAGAAGUUAACCAGGGUUCCAUGAGAACAAGAUCAAUUUCUUUCAAGAGCUCUGUCUUCGAUGACUAACAGUAAUGUGCACCAUAUCCCACCUUUUAAAGUCAGACGCCGGAAGUCAUUGCUGCCACCCUGCAGACCUAGCUCCAUGAGAACCUUCACAAGGCUCUGAAACUAUAAUAGCAUGUGCUCCAAGUUGGUAAUUUAUGAAUAGACUCUUAAACAGUAAAACAGAAAAGUACAAUUUUGCCAUAAAAAUGACUAAAUAUUAUAGUAUACCUACUUCUGACCCAUAGGUAGUUGACCGCUGUCCUCACCUUCAAUGUAAAAGAUCAGUGUGUCCUGGGAACUAGGGGUAUGAGAUCAAGAGCAGUAAAUCUUCAAGACAUAUGAGCACAACUGACUCCAUAGGGUCUCUAAAUUUGUUCCUUCUAUAAAAAGUUGAACAGAACUGCUGGGGUGAGGAGUGAGAAUGUAUUUGGAGUAAGUCUUUUAGCAGACAACAGCUAAUAAAUACCCAAUAUUUUUUUCUUCCUUCUACACAGGAUUGAAUACAGAAAUAUAAAUUGUCAA